GAUGAACGCUGGCGGCGUGCUUAACACAUGCAAGUCGAACGAUGAAGCCCAGCUUGCUGGGUGGAUUAGUGGCGAACGGGUGAGUAACACGUGAGUAACCUGCCCUUAACUCUGGGAUAAGCCUGGGAAACUGGGUCUAAUACCGGAUAGGAGCGUCCACCGCAUGGUGGGUGUUGGAAAGAUUUAUCGGUUUUGGAUGGACUCGCGGCCUAUCAGCUUGUUGGUGAGGUAAUGGCUCACCAAGGCGACGACGGGUAGCCGGCCUGAGAGGGUGACCGGCCACACUGGGACUGAGACACGGCCCAGACUCCUACGGGAGGCAGCAGUGGGGAAUAUUGCACAAUGGGCGCAAGCCUGAUGCAGCGACGCCGCGUGAGGGAUGAUGGCCUUCGGGUUGUAAACCUCUUUCAGUAGGGAAGAAGCGAAAGUGACGGUACCUGCAGAAGAAGCACCGGCUAACUACGUG
rnacentral:rRNA from 1 species